AAUCAAUCAAUCUUCACUAUGAAAUGGCCACAACAUGUGUGAGUGUUGAAAAAUAGCUGGACAGGCGUUGAGUACGAAAUGUUCUUCGUCACGUUUUAAAAAAAAUUACUCUAAAAUACAAAUAGUGAAUGAUAUCCUUGUGUGCCAAAUGGGUCUGACUGGCCAUAUUCUGCGGGUGUUCUUUCGGUCCCAUUUUAAACCAAUAAGCCGUAAAAAAGCAGAGAAAGGUUAUUUCUAUUCUACUACACUUUAUUUUAUUACUGCAUGGACUUGUUUCGGAUAUGCAGUGUAUCAUUAUACCCAAGAGUAUGAAAAUAUAAAAGACUCGCCUUAUGCUCAUGGCAAACUAUUUACAGCUUAUGAUAUGGCAAAGAGAUUUGGAGCUGAGAAGGAAAACACAAUUAUAGAAAUAACUGGAUGGGGAAAGUAUGAAAAGGAAAAACUUUCGCACCAAGAAUUAGUAGAAAAGCAGUCUGCUUCAUAGUAUUUAACUGUGCAUAACAUAUCUGUGCGUAUAUUGUAGGUAUCAAUUGUAAAUAAAGAUUAUAAGUUUA